UUAAUAAGCGGAGGAAAAGAAACUAACAAGGAUUCCCUCAGUAACGGCGAGUGAAGCGGGAAGAGCUCAAAUUUGAAAUCUCCGAUGCCUGCAUCGGCGAGUUGUAGUUGCGAGAAGCACUUUCUAGGUGGAUCGGCAGUGCCUAAGUUGCUUGGAACAGCAGGUCGCAGAGGGUGACAACCCCGUCUGUGGCGCUGCCGGCCGCUGACGAUGUGCUUUCGAAGAGUCGGGUUGUUUGGGAAUGCAGCCCAAAAUGGGUGGUAAACUCCAUCUAAAGCUAAAUACUGGCGUGAGACCGAUAGCGA
rnacentral:rRNA from 1 species